UUGGCAUUUUUAUAAUGUAUACUUGAUUUUCAGGUAUGACCUCGAGGUGAGAUAACCAGAAAUUGUCGCAAGGGCCUGUUCGUCUGUAUCCUUCCAGGAUUUCUUGUAUUAGUGAAUACAAUCGAGUUCUCACAGCAAGAAUGUCAAGCUUACCAACUACAGUAGCCAAAUGCGCUUGGGAUUUCUAAACUUGAUGUGAAUAUCUAUCAGAGAAGGGUUUCUCCUAGGAUCAAUCUGUGCAAGAGUAUUUGAAGGGCUUUUGUCAGCAGAUUGGCAGUUUGCAGUCGAAAUUGCCUGAUUCAUAUCAGCAGGCUUUUUAAUUGUUGGAUCUACCUUUCCAUUGAUUGAUAAGAGGAUGAAGUUUUCGAAGGAGAAAGUCGUGCCAUCUGAUGUGUAAUUUGAAAAAAAAAAUACAAAGUUCACACUCAUUUUUGGAAGGCAGUGGCUCAAAAAAUUCCUUUCAGAGGUAAAUAUCAUUCUUAUCCAACGAAAAGA